rnacentral:rRNA from 1 species
CCAGCUCCAAUAGCGUAUAUUAAAGUUGUUGCAGUUAAAACGCUCGUAGUCUGAAUCAGUGGUUCGGCGGUGAUGGUCUGCUGGGAAAGCGUGCACUGCGCCGCCUGCCACUUCACUCGCGAAUGGAACCUAUUUGGUCUUAACUGGCUGAGUAGGCUUCCUCGUGACGUUUACCAUGAGCAAAUUAGAGUGCUCAAAGCAGGCCUUUUGGCUUGAAUAGUUUAGCAUGGGAUAAUAGAACACGACUCUGUCUUGUUCGUUGGUUAGCAGGGCAGCGUAAUGAUCAAUGGGAAUUGUCGGGGGCAUUCAUACCGCGCGGGGAGGGGUGAAAUCCUUGGAUCCACGCGAGAUGAACUACUGCGAAAGCAUUUGUCAAGUAUAUUUUCA